UACAGACCCUCCCCGCCUGCUAGAGCGGCGCCUCUCCCUCGUGAUUUAUCAGCUCCGGUUAAUAAAGUAGCUUUAAAAAUUUAAAAUAAACUUUUCUGCUGCUUUCUACACUUGGAUCGGAUCUGGAUCCGACCAAGUCUCUACGAAAUCGGUCUAGUUGUCCUCAAUUCCAUUUGGAACGGGUCUCUAUAUUUAAAAAAAAAAAAAAAAUUAUGCGCAUCCCCAGGUACAUGUCGGAACAGGUCCAACUUUUUGGAACCGUGGCUGGUCUCAGACGAACCCGCAGGUGAAGAAGCCAGAUGUGGAGGUCCUGGGUUGGCGAUGGUCUAUUUGUGGUCUGCGUUGGUGAGGCCAGUUGGGCGUACUGCCCAAUUCUCUAAAACAAUGUUGGAGGCAUCUUAUGGUAGAGACAUUAACAUAAAAUUAUCUGGCAACAACUCUGGUGGACAUUACUGCAGUCAGUGUCAAUUGCAUGCUCCCUCAAAAUUUGAGACGUCUGUGGCAUUGUGUUGUGACAAAACUGCACAUUUUAGAGUGGCUUUUUAUUGUCCCAGCACAAGGUGCACCUGUGUAAUGAUCAUGCUGUUUAAUCAGCUUCUUGAUAUGCCAAAUCUGUCAGGUGGAUGGAUUAUCUUGGCAAAGGAGAAAUGCUCACUAAUAGGGAUGUAAACAAAUUUGUGAACAAAAUUUGAGAGAAAUAAGGUUUUGGCAUAUGGAAAAUGUAUAUGUGAACUUUUAUUUCAGCUCAUGAAACAUGGGACCAACACAUUACAUGUUGCGUUCAUAUUUUUGUUCAGUAUACAUUGUCAGUCAUAGGCUUCACUGGGAAAUGUGUUGUUGUUGUACUCACAAUCUGGCCAUACCCCAACCAAAAACCCUGGAUGAACAGAGAUAUUUGUACCAUGCUGAGAGCCCGUACUGCAGCAUUCAAUGUCAGCAGAACAAACUCUGAUGACUCGGUGAUGCGUGACAGAUACAAGGCAAGCAGGUACGAACUCCCCAAAUCCAUUAGGGAUGCAAAAAGACAAUACAGACACAAACUUGAAUUGACAGUCGACAACUCAAGACUUGCGAUGCAUGUGGCAAGGACUACAGACUAUUACGGACUACAAAGGCAAAUCCAGCUGUGUGGCCCACCAAAGUGUCCCUCCCAGAUGAUCUUAACAUAUUCUAUGCUUGCUUCGAAGCAGACAAUAUCGAACCAUCCAGGAAGACUCUCGCUGCUACGGACGACCAGGUGCUUUCGUUCUCCGAGGCUGAAGUGAGGGAAAACUCUUAAAAGAGUGAAUACUCACAAAGCUGCCAGCCCAGAUGGCAUCCCUGGCCGUGUCCUCAGUGUAUGCUGACCAGCUGAUGGGCUUCUUUUUUGACUUCUUAAACAUGUCACUGUCCCAGGCCAUAGUCCCCGCCUGCUUCAAGGAGACCACCAUCGUCCCAGUGUCCAAGAAAAACAAGAUGAUGUGUCCAAAUGACUAUCACCCCGUCAUACUCAUCCCAGUCAUCAUGAAGUGUCAAAAGAGGCUGGUCAUGGCCCACAUCAAGGCCAGCAUGCCAGGUACACUGGAUUUGCUUACCGCUAACAGAAACUUACUGCACAAUUGUAACAUUUGCCCCCCAAUCACCCUUUUCCCGAAACACUAUAAAUUCUGCCUUCCUGUAUUAUCUAUUCAACUGAGCCACUUACCUUAUGUUCGUAUUCUUAUUGUUUUUAUUUCUAAUUGUUGUUGCAUUGUCGAGAAGGAACACGCAAGUAAGCAUUUUUUUGGAUGGUGUAUACCAUGUGUAUCCCGUACAUAUGACUAGUAAAACUUUAAACAGAAACCUGCUCCCUCCUCUCUUCAAAACAUUCACACCUAUAUUAACUCACACUCCAAAUCUCAGAAGAGCAGUCAAACCCAACCCUUGACAGUUUAAAAUCCCAGGUCGAUGCAAGCAUUACCAUUUUUAUUGUCACCGUCAACAAGGUCAAUCACCAUCUUCUCUUUCUGCUCUGUCUCUCCAUCCAUCUCACAGCAGUCUCUGUAUCGCAACACAUGUUCUAUGGGGAUCACCAGUCUUUGUCUGUUUGGUACAAAUACAACAUGUAGCACCUCAGAGCCCAACUGCUAGAGCGGACAAGCAGUGUUCAACAUCAGUAGCAUCAAGCACAAGGGCUGCCUGGUCACACAUUUCUGCAACACCACAUCCACUUCUUCCAUAUUCCUGGGAGUCGGCUACAUCGUCUCAUAGACCUGCUCCAGCACCAAUCUGCAACGGGGUUGGCUCCGUACAACUACCUCUCACAGUGGCCCUUGGUGCAGCCCUGGUGGCCAUCUGGAGCACCUUAGCCUAGACAAACCAUUCACAAUAAGGAUACCUCCUCCAUAGGUUUCCAUGUGUUGUUAUAGUUCUUAAAUACAUAAAAUGUACUAAAACAAGUAAUAUUCUGAAAAAGACAGCAAGUUUUAUGCAGGCUAGUUUCACUAAGCUUUAGUUCUGCUUUAGUUCUGUGUAUUCCGGGUUUCCAAGCUGGUUACGGGUGCACCUCAGCCACGCUCAAGGUACUAAACGAUAUAACCGCCAUCGAUAAAAGACAGUACUAUGUCUUCAUCGACCUGGCCAAGGCUUUCGACUCUGUCAAUCACCGCAUUCGCAUCGGCAGACUCAACAGCAUUGGUUUCUCAAAUGACUGCCAACUACUUCUCAGACAGAGUUCUGUGUGUCAAAUCGGAGGGCCUGUUGUCUGGACCUUUUAAUUUUUUUAUUUUACCUUUAUUUAACUAGGCAAGUCAGUUAAGAACAAAUUCUUAUUUGGCAGUCUCUAUGGGGGUACCACAGGGUUCAAUUCUCGGGCCGACUCUUUUCGGUGUAUAUAUCAACAAUGUCGCUCUUGCUGCAGGUGAUUCCCUGAUCCACCUCUACGCAGUCGACAUUUUGUAUACAUCUGGCCCUUCUCUGGACACUGUGUUAACAAACCUCCAGAUGAGCUUCAAUGCCAUACAACACUCCUUCCGUGGCCUCCCAACUGCUCUAAAACGCUAGUAAAAGCAAAUGCUUGUUUUUCAACUAGCAUCACUACUCUGGACGGUUCUAACUUAGAAUAUGUGGACAACUACAAAUACCUAGGUGUCUGGAUAGACUGUAAACUCUCCUUCCAGACUCAUAUUAAACAUCUCCAAUCCAAAAUUAAAUCUAGAUCUAAAUCUAAAACUGACUAUCCUACCGAUCCUCGACGAUGUCAUUUUCAAAAUAGCUUCCAAUACUAUACUCAGCAAACUGGAUGCAGUCUAUCACAGUGUCAUCCGUUUUGUUACCAAAGCCCCAUAUACCACCCACCACUGCGACUUGUAUGCUCUAGUCGGCUGGCCCUCACUACAUAUUCGUCGCCAGACCCACUGGCUCCAGGUCAAUUAUAAGUCGAUGCUAGGUAAAGCUCCGCUUUAUUUCAGCUCACUGGUCACGAUAACAACACCCACCCAUUGCACACGCUCCAGCAGGUGUAUCUCACUGGUCAUCCCCAAAGCAAACACCUCCUUUGGCCACCUUUCCUUCCAGUUCUCUGCUGCCAAUGACUGGAACGAAUUGCAAAAAAAUAUAUAUAUUUUCUUUAAAUAAUAAAUAAAUAAAUAAAUAAACAUUUUUAAUAUAUAAAAAUGACAAUUUAAAAAAUGAAAAAAAUAGACAUAUUACCCUCACUAACUUUAAACAUCAGCUAACCGAUCGCUGCAGCUGUACAUAGCCUAUCUAACUACCUCAUUCCCAUAUUGUUUUUAUUUACUUUUCUGCUCUUUUGCACACCAGUAUUUCUACUUGCACAUCAUCAUCUGCUCAUCUAUCACUCCAGUGUUAAUUUUCUAAAUUGUAAUUACUUCGUUACAAUGGCCUAUUUAUUGCCUUACAUCCUCACUCCAUUUGCACACACUGUAUAUAGACUUUCUUUUUUUCUAUUGUGUUAUUGACUGUACGCUUGUUUAUUCUACGUGUAACUCUGUGUUGUUUGUGUCGCACUGCUUUGCUUUAUCUUUGCCAGGUCGCAGUUGUAAAUGAGAACUUGUUCUCAACUAGCUUACAUGGUUAAAUAAAGGUGAAAUAAAAUAAAAAUAGCUCAAAGUGACAACUCAAACUGGUUUUACCUCUAGGCUAAACAACAUCCUACUAUAGCAUCGUUAUGAACAGUUCAAAUCUAUGUCACUAUUUAUACUGGGAACACAUCAAUGACAAGCAUUUUUCAAUGGCAUACCAUCUUCUCAACCAUGUCACUAUUAAUUAUCAUAUCUAGUAAGUUAUCAUUUUCCCUAUUAGGCAUGUUGCACUCUGUACUCAUAAAGAUAACCUUAUGAUUAUUUAUUGUACAUAAAAUAAAUACAUGUACUCAAAAAUAUCUACUAUUAUAUGUGUGUGAAAUGAUUGAACAAAUACUAUAAUAAAGAUGUUAAAUUAUACCCUUACCAAAAAAUAGGCUUCUGGCAAACAGCUGUGGCAAACCUUUGACCAAUUUGCAGCAAGCUCAUAUUUUCACAUGUAAAUUUGCUUUUGGCAAACAGUUUCGGCAAAUUUGCAGCAACUUGUUAACUUCUUGCAAACAAGUCAGGGAAACGUGUGGCAAAUAUUCUACUGUUUGCUGCAAAUUGGUUGCAAACUCAGUAUGAAUAUUUCAAUUAGAUCAGGUUUUUAGUUACUGUGUGUUAACAUGGAAAUGUAUCUAAAUACACCAAAUCAUAUAUAAAACUUUAAAUGAACUUCUCAGAGAAAAAACUAAACAUACGAAAUGUAGUAAAUAUACCAAACAACUUGUAUUCAAUUUCUUAACAGAAAAUAAAUGAAAUCCUCAGCAUGGUAAUGAAGAAAAGAGCAAUGACUGGAUAUUAUCAGGAUUUUUUAAAAUGUCAAAUUAGUAUGUACAGUGGCAAGAAAAAGUAUGUGAACCCUUUGGAAUUACCUGGAUUUCUGUAUAAAUUGGUCAUCAAAUUUGAUCCGAUCUUCAUCUAAGUCACAGCAAUAGACAAACAGUGUGCUUACAAUAAUUUGUGUGUCAUAUUAGUUUAUUUCUCAUCUAUAUUGAAUACAUUUAAAAACAUUCACAAUCUAGAUUGGGAAAAGUUUGUAUUUGAACACCUAGGCUAAUGACUUCUCCAAAAAUGAAUUGGAGUCAGGAGUCAGCUAACCUGAAGUCCAAUCAAUGAGACGAGAUUAGAGAUGUUGGUUAGAGCUGCUUUGCCCUAUUAAAAAAACCUCAGAAAAUUUGAGUUUGCUAUUCACAAGAAGCAUCGCCUGAUGUGAACCAUGCCUCAAACAAAAAGAGAUCUCAGAAGACCUAAGAUUAAGAAUUGUUGACUUGCAUAAAGCUGGAAAGGAUUACAAAAGUAUCUUUAAAAACCUUGAUGUUCAUCAGUCCACGGUAAGACAAAUUGUCUAUAAAUGGAGAAUGUUCAGCACUGUUGCUACUCUCCCUAGGAGUGGCCAUCCUGCAAAGAUGACUGCAAGAGCACAGUGCAGAAUGCUCACUGAGGUUAAAACCUUAUAUGGCUGCGAUCCCCGUACAGGGAUCCCGAACAUCGGGGAAAUUUCAGUGACAAUUAAAAGUACAACGUCGUAACAUUAAACAUUCUUGAAAAUGCACGUGUCUUACAUCCUUCAAAAGAUUAGGAUCUUGGUAAUCAAACUACUUUUUCCGAUUUAAAAUAGCUAUUACAGAGAACAAAUAUCAUGCUUUGUUUGAGAAGAGCAUUCAACAACAAAAACAUUUUCUGCCAUGACAGUUUUUACACAUUCACAUCUGAAGGUAAAAUUAUGACUUACAUUCUGAUAUCUUGCUCUUAUGUCUCUUCCUGAGGGUUCCAGUGAUCAAAUGAAGUGCCGUUUUCUUUGAUAAAAUCAAUUUUUAUAGCCUAAAUCGAAAAACUUUUUGUAACCUGUUUGUGCCGUGAAUUCCAUCUCUAUCAAUUUUUUACAGAGCAUUCGACGUAAUUACACACGGUAAACAAUCGUUUAUCUAGUCAUGGUUGGUUUCAGUGCAUUCCUCUGGAUGUUUGCAACACAGCCAAUUGAUUUUUUUUGCGGUGAGUAUUGACCGAAGUGAACUGAUUUGAAGACAACGAGCAAUGACUACCUUGCGCACCAAUAAUUUUAGCGAAACUUCGUUGAUUGACUGUAUGCCCAAUGACCACUGAUCUUCUUGAAAUCUAGCUGGGUAGAUAGCCAAUGAGCCGAGGUAAACGCCAGUAUGUAAUGGUUUUGGGUUGGACCACCAUUCCUUGUUUGAAAAUGCACGCGUAAGGAACUCCAUUCUCGCCUUGACUAUCAGAGGAGUUGCUGUGAGGCUUGUUACGCACAGCAGUAUUUUGGAAAGUUGUAUUUUCAAUGAUUUCAUUGAAGACAUCAUGGCGAAUAAAUCAGGAAAAGCGAAGUCAAAGUCUAAGUAUACAGAUUUGCACCAGAUUAUAGAAUAGAAGAGAUUGAUUUGGAAAGUGAUCUGGAAAGUUUUUUGUUUCAGGAAUCUUUGAGUGUUAUGAUUCAAACAGGAGCUGAGGAGCUGUUUCUGCAAGGACAGGACGUACUUCUGGACGGUGAUAGCGACUCCGACUGGGAGCCCCCGGUGCCAAACUGCCCGCUCUAUCUCUGCCCCCUCUACUCCUGCCUCCAGUGGUGUUCAUAUGCCACAGUUCAUUACUGCAGGCAUAACUGUGUCUCAGGGCCAAAAGGGCACAGCAUGGAGGUGUCGUUGUGUUCUGUGUCACAUGACCUGCACCACUUGUUCAGUUUGCCUCUGCUUUACAUCAGAAAGAGACUGCUAUGGGACAUGGCACAGGCAGCAAAAUAUUGUGUAGAGGACUUCCAAAGGGUGUACUGUUUUUUUUUUUUUUAAAUGUUAGAAAAUAAAUGUUUUAACAUUUUUUUUGUGUAUGUUAGAAUUGCUUUUUGAUAUGUUGUAUAUAGUUAUUUGCACUGUUGUAUAUAGUUAUAGGUAAUUUCACCAAUUCGGCCACUUGGGUACAUUUGGGCAACUUGUGUGGGACACCUGGGUGACUUCAUGCUAAAUGUCAUGUAGCUCACCCAUUCCUGAAGUUAUCAGUCUGAAACUUUGCACACCUACAAAUUAUCUCCAGCUAUUCUAGUACAUGUGAAAGA
ensembl:lncRNA